GAGUGUAUAGCUCAGUGGUAGAGCACGUGCUUAGCAUGCAUCAAGUCCUGGCUUCAAUCCCCAGCACCUUCA
rnacentral:tRNA from 1 species